UACGGAGGUCUCAAGCGUUGUUCGGAUUCAUUGGGCGUAAAGGGUGCGUAGGUGGCGCCGUAAGUCAGGUGUGAAAUUUCGGAGCUUAACUCCGAAACUGCAUUUGAUACUGCGGUGCUUGAGGACUGGAGAGGAGACUGGAAUUCACGGUGUAGCAGUGAAAUGCGUAGAUAUCGUGAGGAAGACCAGUGGCGAAGGCGGGUCUCUGGACAGUUCCUGACACUGAGGCACGAAGGCCAGGGGAGCAAACGGG
rnacentral:rRNA from 1 species